GCCCCUUGCCGGGUAAGUUCCGGCCUGCAUGAAAGGCGUAACGAGUUGACAACUGUCUCGAACCACUGCUCGACGAAAUUGAAAUGGCUGUGAAGAUGCGGCCUACUUGCACUUGGACAAAAAGACCCCGAGAGCUUUACUGAAGCUUGACAUUGGUGCGCGGGAAUGAACUGUUGAGAGUAGGAGGGAGAGGGUACCGUAUGGUAUCCUCGACGAUGAAACACCUCUCUUUUGUUUUCGUACACCUUAUCUAUUAAUUUGGAGACAGUGUUAGGCGGUCAGUUUACCUGGGGCGGGUCCCUCCAAAAGAGUAACGGAGGGGUACAAAGGUUGGCUUACUCCGGAUGGAAAUCGGAGUGUAAGUGUAUACGCAUAAGCCAGCUUGACUGCGAGGGCUACAAUCCGAGCAGGUGCGAAAGCAGGUGUAAGUGAUCCCCUAUUCCGAUGUGAUUUCGGAAAGGGCUUAACGGAUAAAAGCUACCUCGGGGAUAACAGGCUGGUCUCGCCCGAGAGUUCAUAUCGACGGCGAGGUUCGGCACCUCGAUGUCGGCUCAUCACAUCCUGGGGCUGUAGUCGGUCCCAAGGGUUGGGCUGUUCGCCCAUUAAAGUGGUACGCGAGCUGGGUUCAGAACGUCGUGAAAUUUACAAUCGCGACCUUCAGUGGUAACAUUGAAGAUAAAUUUGGCUAAUAACGGUGAAGCCUUCCUUUGAAGUUUCAAAGAUGGUAAUACCGUGGGAAGUCGAGGUAUGGUUGAAAAAACAAAAGCAUACAUUGCCGGUUUUCUUGAUGGAGACGGUUCUAUUUUCCUCCAAUUGGUUCGACGUAAAGACUAUCAACUUGGAUACCAAAUAAGAGCAAGUAUUGUUUUUUUCCAGAAGAAGAAAAAUGAUAAAAUUCUUCGUUGGUUAAAACAUAAACUUCGCUAUGGAUAUCUGAGAAAUAGAAAAGAUGGUCUUUCCGAAUAUACAAUUGUUGGUUUUAGGGUAGUAAAAGGAAUUCUUAAUGAAUUAGAACCUUACCUUCUUGUUAAAAAAUAUCAGGCAAAACUUGCAAUUAGAAUCAUUGAUCGUAUUGAAAAGACACCUAUUGUAACUACUGGAUUUAUGUUACGAAUAGCUAAAGAAGUAGAUAAGUUUGGUAUGUUAAAUAAUUCAAAGAAACGAAUUAAUGAUUCUAAACAAUUGAAGAAAUUUUUUCAAUCAAUUACCUUUGACCCCGUAUCGACUGAAUUCCUUUCUAUAAAAAAGGAAUGAGAUAGUCGGCCUCAUUAAAUGAGAGGCUAUCAUAUGCCAACUCCAUAUAAAAUAAACUUAUAAUAAGUUUAUUAUGGAAGAAGAUAUAGUCAGUACCAUUCGAAAGAAUGGAGCGUAAAGUAAUAAAAACUUUGCUAGGAUAUUAUAUCCUAUAAUACGGAGACAGUUCGGACUCUAUCCAGUGCAAGCGCUUUGAUUCUUGAGGGGAUAAUCCUUCAGUACGAGAGGACCAAGGAUUAGGAAUCCCUGGUGUACCGGUUGUCCUAAAAGGGCAUCGCCGGGUAGCUAUAUUCCUAUGUGAUAAACACUGAAAGCAUCUCAAGUGUGAAGCACACCCCAAGAUUAGGAAUCUUUAAGUCCGCCGGUAGAUUACCGGUUUGAUAGGCUCUAUGUGUAAGUUCUGUAAGGGAUUUAGCAGAGGAGUACUAACGGACGUCUCCCAUCUCUCU
rfam:Candidatus Roizmanbacteria bacterium RIFCSPLOWO2_01_FTLL_38_12 rifcsplowo2_01_scaffold_7670, whole genome shotgun sequence.